rnacentral:tRNA from 1 species
AAUAAUGUGUCUGAUUUAAGUAAUAAAUUGUAAAUUUAUUUAAAAAUAUAUUAUAUAUUUCAUUAUUA